rnacentral:rRNA from 1 species
UACGUAGGGUGCAAGCGUUAUCCGGAAUUAUUGGGCGUAAAGAGCUCGUAGGCGGUUUGUCGCGUCUGCUGUGAAAACUGGAGGCUCAACCUCCAGCCUGCAGUGGGUACGGGGCAGACUAGAGUGCGGUAGGGGAGAUUGGAAUUCCUGGUGUAGCGGUGGAAUGCGCAGAUAUCAGGAGGAACACCAGUGGCGAAGGCGGCUCACUGGCCCGGU